GGGUGCUGCCGAUUACCUAGGUUCUUCGCUUGUCAAGAGGCUCCUAGAAAAGGGACACAUUGUUCACACAACUAUGAGGAAUUUGGGAUUAUGAGUAUGCAAGUUAUAAUAUCGUUGCCUUUGAUAUUGCAAAUCACUUCUGUGAGAUGGCUAUCGAUUACCACAAAGAAACACCCCAUGUUAUGAACUAUAGUAAAUAUCCAGCUUAUUAAGAGAGGAAGAUGGCAUCCAUUUUCACAGCCAUGUCAUCAGUUGGCUCAUUCGUUGCACCUAAUGGUUUGACUGGUGUGAACAAGCUUGCUGAUUUGGUUGGAGUCACUCUUGGAC